AUUGAACGCUGGCGGCAUGCCUUACACAUGCAAGUCGAACGGUAACAGGCCUUCGGUUUCUGACGUGUGUGGGACGCGUGAGUAUUGCUUCCGAACGUGCCCUGUGGUGGGGGGUAGCGCAGCGAAAGCUGUGCUAAAAGCUCAUGUGAUAUGAGAACGAAAACGAGAGAUCUGAAGGCAAAGUUAUGCAUCUGCCCUUUGGAACGGUGGAUGUCCGUUUUGUUAGCUGGUGGGGUAAGGGCCGACCAAGCCAAGCAUCGGUAGCUGGUCUGAGAGGACGACCAGCCACACUGGGACUGGGACACGGCCCAGACUCCUACGGGAGGCAGCAGUGGGGAAUUUUGGACAAUGGGCGCAAGCCUGAUCCAGCAAUGCCGCGUGCGGGAAGAAGGUCUUCGGGUUGUAAACCGCGUUUGUACGGAAGGAAAAGGCUCUGGCUAAUACCUGGAGCUGAUGACGGUACCGAAAGAAUAAGCACCGGCUAACUACGUG
rnacentral:rRNA from 1 species